ACGCUAGCGGCAGGCUUAACACAUGCAAGUCGAGGGGUAACAGGAGUAGCUUGCUACUUGCUGACGACCGGCGCACGGGUGCGUAACGCGUAUAGAAUUUGCCUUGUACAGGAGGAUAGCCUUUAGAAAUGAAGAUUAAUACUCCAUAAUGUURAAUUCCGGCAUCGGGAUUUAAUUAAAGAUUUAUCGGUACAAGAUGACUAUGCGUCCUAUUAGCUAGAUGGUAAGGUAACGGCUUACCAUGGCAACGAUAGGUAGGGGGUCYGAGAGGAUUAUCCCCCACACUGGUACUGAGACACGGACCAGACUCCUACGGGAGGCAGCAGUGAGGAAUAUUGGUCAAUGGAGGCAACUCUGAACCAGCCAUGCCGCGUGCAGGAUGACUGCCCUAUGGGUUGUAAACUGCUUUUAUACAGGAAGAAACCGCUGUACGUGUAGAGUGCUGACGGUACUGUAAGAAUAAGCACCGGCUAACUCCGUGCCAGCAGCCGCGGUAAUACGGAGGGUGCAAGCGUUAUCCGGAAUCAUUGGGUUUAAAGGGUCCGCAGGCGGUCAAUUAAGUCAGASGUGAAAUCCUAUAGCUUAACUAUAGAACUGCCUUUGAUACUGGUUGACUUGAGUUAUACGGAAGUAGAUAGAAUGUGUAGUGUAGCGGUGAAAUGCAUAGAUAUUACACAGAAUACCGAUUGCGAAGGCAGUCUACUACGUAUAUACUGACGCUCAUGGACGAAAGCGUGG
rnacentral:rRNA from 1 species